AGAUCUGAAUGGAAGGCAGACAUAUCUCCCCCAGCAUGUUCACCCAACCUCCGGAGGCUUUCAGCCAACGGACCACUGAGGGCUUGAAGUCUUCGCCAGGAUUGGGCGUAUCGUCGUCUCACGAGUUCUAUUAUCGUUCCGAGAAGAAGAAGAAGAAGAAGAAGAAGAAGAAAAAUGGAAUUAACGGCUUACUGGGCACGAGAUCGCCAAAACCAAUAGUUGUCAUUGUCACGAAGCAGAAGUAAAAUCCUUCGAAAAAUCCCCAAUCGUCUUCCCACAGCAUGAACAUUCCGGCACCGCAGGCCAAGUAGAGGAAGAGGAGAAGAGCCGCAGCAAAAGCCCCUGCAAGUGCAUUUUGUUCAGAUUAGAGACAAAAAUGAUUGCGUUAUAUUUACUCAGCCUCAUCAGCAGCACAAAUUAGCUUUCCAACGGUUUCACGAAAACUCUUUUUGUCCGAUGAAAAAUAUUUUGAAUUCAAAUGACGCUGAAGGUAUAGUGUCAAGGAGUGUGAUAAAAAGUUUACCCAAGGAUCGUCUGCCAGCAUGAUUACUGGGUACCCAGGAAGUCGCUGCGUCCGGAAGUUUGGAGCUUAUUCGCGAGGCGAUGGAGCUCACAGCUUCAGCGAAUAGCUUACCCCAAUCAGCGAUCACGGUAAGAGUCAAGGGAAUUCCACCGAAGGCGAAUACGAUGCAAAAGAGCCUGCCCCAACUGGUUGUUGGCACAAUAUUCCCGUAUCCUAAAAAAAUCAUAGAUAUGAAGAUAUUUUCGUGAUAUAUUCAAUGGAACCCUUGCUCGACAAGUAGAGUUGAAAGACAAACUCGGUCACCUAUAGUGGUAAGAACUGUGCUGGCGAAAAAAACAGCUUGUAUAACGCUCCAGCGUUCAGUAGUGAUGGCAGCCAAAGGGCCAGUUCCAUUUUCGUAGCUCAGGGUGUCCAAGUCGUCGAGGAUACCAGCAAAAAGACCGCCUUGCGUAGCUUCUUUCACUACAUGCUCGUAGGCUCGCAAUUCGUAUUUCAUCUGCCAUUAAAGAGUCGCUGUAGCAAAUGAUACUAAGAGAGACAGAGAGAUCAGGGCAGAGUGGGACACACGACCGAAACGUUACAACAACAAGACGUUGCUACGCGGAGUGGAUCAAGAUCCGAAAAAUUGAUGAAUUUAACCCUUACGCAGUCAUCAGGGUGGCCGCAAUACACUUCUUUUUGCAAAUUUCUUCGCGAAAACAUCAUCAACAUCAAAAAAAAAUAAUGUGGACCAAAUUUGAAUGCGCUAGGAGAAUUUAAACAGGUGCCACCGAAGAGUUGAAGUUUUAAAUGCAAAACACGUGUAUUUAUCAAACUUGUUACUUAAUUAUUAUCUGCCUCCCAUAAUAAUGACGAUAGAAAUCUGAAAUUUGGCACACUUGUUGUUCAUAUUAAAGGAUACGAAACGAAA